rnacentral:rRNA from 1 species
AAAAAACGGGAAGAAAGAACUAACAAGGAUUCCCUUAGUAGCGGCGAGCGAAGAGGGAGUAGCCCAUAACCGAAUCGCAUGGCGUGAUGUCAUUGCGAAAUGUGGUGUUGGGGUAGUUUUAUGUGGCAUGUUUCUGUGAUAUCCUAAGUCCACGUGAUUGUGGCUCAUUCCCCAGAGAGGGUGUAAGGCCCGUUAGGAUGUGAGACAUGUUGCGCGAAACUACUCAAGAGUCGGUUUGCUUGGGAAUGCAGACCUAAUCGGGUGGUAAACUCCAUCCAAGGCUACAUAUAACACGAGUCCGAUAGCGAACAAGUACUGUGAAGGAAAGUUGAAAAGAACUUUGAAGAGAGAGUUCAAUAGUGCGUGAAACUGUCCAGAGGUAAGCGGGUGGAGCUGAAGGAGGCAUGUGAGUUGAUGUUUUCUGACUUGCCUAUGGCUUGUUUAGUGUAUCCGUUUGUGAGGAGCACUGGCGAGUUGUGGUGUGAGUUGGUUGGCUGUUUACCGCAUGCUGUCACCACGAUCGGCGAUGAGUUGUUUUGUUGCAUGUGGGAAAGGUAGGGUUGUUCUCUUCGGAGGAUGACCUGUUAUAGUCCCUAGCGGCAGAGUGAUUUGUUGCUGAGUAUGGCGAGGUUAGUCACCAUUUUUACGUGUGGCGUACAUAGGUGCUUGCGUUGAUGCCCUUGAUGAUACACUCCAUUUGUUGCGAGUGUGUUGUUGAGUUGUGUGUUGAUGCUGAGUGCUUCCCUGUGCAUAAUCUCAACAAUCUGUGGUGUUUGUAGGCCAUCCACCUGUCCCGUCUUGAAACACGGACCAAGGAGUGUAACAUGUACGCGAGUCAUUGGGUGUUACGAAACCUAAAGGCGCAGUGAAAGUAAAGGUCUCCAUUGUGUGAGGCUGAGGUGAGAUCUGUGUGCUUACGAGCGUGCAGCGCAUCACCGGCUCAUCCUAUACCUUUUAGGUGGGGUGAAGCUUGAGCGUACAUGCUGCGACCCGAAAGAUGGUGAACUAUGCUUGCGUAGGUUGAAGCCAGAGGAAACUCUGGUGGAAGACCGUAGCGAUUCUGACGUGCAAAUCGAUCGUCAAACGUGAGUAUAGGGGCGAAAGACUAAUCGAACCAUCUAGUAGCUGGUUCCCCCCGAAGUUUCCCUCAGGAUAGCUGGCACUCAUGGAAAGCAGUUUCAUCCGGUAAAGCGAAUGAUUAGAAGUAUUGGGGGCGAAAUGCCCUCAACUUAUUCUCAAACUUGAAAUGGGUGAGCGGCCUGUCUCUCUUAAAUGGAGAUGGGUUUGUAUAACUGAAUGUGAGUGCCCAGUGGGCCAUUUUUGGUAAGCAGAACUGGCGAUGCGGGAUGAACCGAACGUUACUGUUAAGGUGCCUAACAUGACGCUCAUGAGAUUCCACAAAAGGUGUUGGUUGAUAUAGACAGCAGGACGGUGGCCAUGGAAGUCGGAAUCCGCUAAGGAGUGUGUAACAACUCACCUGCCGAAUCAACCAGCCCUGAAAAUGGAUGGCGCUGGAGCGACAGACCUAUACAGUACUGUCAAAGCAAGCUAACCCACAGCGUGGAAGCUUUGACAAGUAGGGGGGCGACGCGGUAAGCAUAGAAGCCACGGCCGUGAGGCUGGGUGGAGCUGCCGUGUGUGCAGAUCUUGGUGGUAGUAGCAAAGUAUCAAAA